UACGUAGGGCGCGAGCGUUGUCCGGAUUUAUUGGGCGUAAAGAGCUCGUAGGCGCUUGUCGCGUCGACUGUGAAAUCCCGCGGCUCAACUGCGGGUCUGCAGUCGAUACGGGCAGGCGUAGAGUUCGGUAGGGGAGACUGGGAAUUCCUGGUGUAGCGGUGAAAUGCGCAGAUAUCAGGAGGAACACCCCGUGGCUAAGGCGGCUCUCUAGUACGGGUACUGACGCUGAGACGCGAAAGCGUGGGGAGCGAACAGG
rnacentral:rRNA from 1 species